AUUGAACGCUGGCGGCAGGCCUAACACAUGCAAGUCGAACGAGUGGCGGACGGGUGAGUAAAGUAUGGGAAACUGCCUGAUGGAGGGGGCUAACUACUGGACACGGUAGAUAAUACCGCAUACCAUCAGAUGUGCCCAGAUGGGAUUAGCUGGUUGGUGGGGGAACGGCUGACCAAGGCGACGAUCCCUAGCUGGUCGGAGAGGAUGACCAGCCAAACUGGAACGGAUACACGGUCCAGACUCCUACGGUAGGCAGCAGUGGGGAAUAUUGCACAAUGGGCGCAAGCCUGAUGCAGCCAUGCCGCGUGUAUGAAGAAGGCCUUCGGAUUGUAAAGUACUUUCAGCGGGGAGGCGUUACCCGCAGAAGAAGCACCGGCUAACUCCGUGCCAGCAGCCGCGGUAAUUC
rnacentral:rRNA from 1 species